GGUGGUAGAGAGGCUGGGGGUGACGGGGUAGUCCUGCUCCAUGUUCUACGGGGACAGUAACCCUGAUCUGGGGGACCGGCGCUGGGCUGGAUAAUGUUAGUGUUGAACCGCGGGUCUAAAUGUUGACGUUGAACAGAGAAAGAGAAAGAGGAGGACGAAGAUUCAUGUUGGGUUCCCUCAACGAGGGUUAGUUAGUUGGUGUACUACGUAGUUGGUUUACUGGGUGGUGUACUGUAGGUGGUGUACUGGGUGGUGUACUGGGUGGUGUACUGGGUGGUGUACUGUAGGUGGUUUACUGGGUGGUGUACUGUAGGUGGUGUACUGGGUGAUGUAGGGGUCUUUGUUUUAUAGCAGGAAGUUCUCCAUCCCUCCACUGGGAAUGCUCCCACUAUUGUUCCCAGCGUUCACUUUGUUCGCCGUUCCUUUUUGGGUAUCAUUUUGUGUAUGUGUGUGUUGGGGGUGUGGGGGUAUGUGUGUGUGUGUGUGUGUGUGCGUAUAGGUGUGUGUGUGCGUAAGUGUGUUGAGGAUUAUCAAAGUAAGUCAGCGUAGUAAUUCUUCCCCACUUUUUGAAUGACCGCGAGUGAUGUGGGUGGGGCUGGAAAAUGUGUUGAAAUUAAGGAAGAUUACGUUGGAAUGCAGAAAACAAAACUGUUUUUGAUGACUAACGGAUCAGCCGUGUGAAUGAACUCCCCUGAACCUUCCUGUCCUUCUCGAACCCGGAGCGAAGCUUCGUGACGUCCGUCUUUGAUGUGUUAUGAAGUCGGGAGGCUCUUCUUGUGUUUUGCACGAAAGAGAGUGUUUAAUGGGGGGCUGUUUGUAGAGUUUUCUCUGGUCCUCAUGUGGCUCUCAGGGGCCCACCCGGGUGGCACCAGACGGAGACCGUGAGUCACAACCAUGUGGCGGCACGCGGUGUGACACCCACACACACACGCACGCACACACACACACAUACACACACACACACACACACACACACACACAAACACACGCACACACACACACACACACACACACACACACACACACACAUCCAUCUUACAGUUCACUGUUUUCGAAGAUUUCAAACUGAUUAAAACAUUCCAAUCUAACAUCCAACUUUGUCGAAGGGUAGUGCAGCUCCUAUCUGAACUCUGUUGUGUGUGACAUGUCUCCUAGCUGCUAGAAAUGCGCAUUACUGAAGUGGCGUGACAUUUUCUUUACAUACAUCGCACAUGGCUGCCAAGAAAAAGAAGAAAAGGGGGACAAGAGUCACAUGACCCCAAACUGGGUGGGGCUUGUGGAGUCUGGACUCUGGUCCUCAGUGGGUCUGGACGCUCUGCUGGUUCCCAGAGCCAUUGGGUCUGGUCUAUGCUGCUCUGGUCUAGGGAUGGGCAUUUGAAGGCAUAUCAGUGUUCGAAUAUCCGAUAAAAAGAAUUUGAGUAACUUGUUAACCGCUUAAAAAAAAAAGAAAUGUGUACCUCACUCAUAAUGUAGCCUGAAGUUCUUCCAAGAUCUGGCCUUCACUAAACAAAUGCAUUCGUUUUCCAUCUAUUAGUCAAAUAAAUAAGGAAAUCAAAUCCAAUUUGUUCAAUUUAUUUAGCAUUUUAGAAGGAAAAAGACACUCGAAAUCAGUAUGCUGAAUUGAAACAAGUUGAAACGAAACCAUAAUUUUUGACAAGAAUAUGAAUGAACAGUAUUGCAUACUUAAGGCACAAACUGAAAUUAGAUUAAAGAAAAUUUAAGGCACAAACUGAAUAGAUUCAAGUAACUGAAGCACAACAGCAAAAAGCAUAAAUACUGGUGGGCUUGGAUAUCAACAGAAAUCCACUUGCAAUGCAUGGGCCUGCCUCACAUUACACAAGAUGCGCAUAUAACAGAACAUCAACAAAAAUACAUUAUGUGUAAGACGGAAAUACAGUAUGUCUAAAACAUUUCCAGUUAACAACAUAACACAUAAGCCCACCUACUGCAUCACUCAUUCUUGUUAAAAAAAAUGAGCAUAUCUACGUGCUCGGGGAUAGGCGGGUGUGGAGGCGAUUUACAAUCAAGCCCGCCGGGGAAAAGACUCUCCGCUGGAACGGAGGUUGCCGGUAUGGCCAUGUAUUCCAAGUAUUAAAUGGCGUUAGUAUAAACGUUUAAUGAAAAAUAUGUAAUUAAUAUAGCUAAUGAAUAUAUUUAAUUAACUGUAGGCAAAAAUAAAAUAAAAAUCUGCUACAGCUACAGUCGAAUACCCACGUCAUUUCGAAUAACCGAAUACUUGAAUAACCGUGGCCAUCCCUAGUCUGGUCUCUCUGCUGGUCCUCAGAGCCAGUGGGUCUGGUCUCUGCUGGUCUGGUCUCUCUGCUGGUCCUCAGAGCCAGUGGGUCUGGUCUCUCUCUGCCCGCAGCCUGUCUGAGUCACCAGGGAAGGUUGAGAAGAGGAAAGUGUUUCUCAAGGAAACCUGGAAACGAAACAGCGGCUCUGGAGAAACCCAGAAGAAAAGAGGAAGGAGGAGAAGGGAGAGUCAGAGAGACAAGAGACAGGGAGUCAGAGGAGAGACAGGCAGUCAGAGGAGAGACAGGCAGUCUGAGGAAAGACAGGCAGUCAGAGGAGAGACAGGCAGUCGGAGGAGAGACAGGCAGUCGGAGGAGAGACAGGCAGUCGGAGGAGAGACAGGGAGUCAGAGGAGAGACAGGCAGUCAGAGGAGAGACAGGCAGUCUGAGGAGAGACAGGCAGUCAGAGGAGAGACAGGCAAUCAGAGGAGAGACAGGCAGUCAGAGGAGAGACAGGCAGUCGGA